GCAGAGAUGCUUUGGUGCCUUCGGGAACUCUGAGACAGGUGCUGCAUGGCUGUCGUCAGCUCGUGUUGUGAAAUGUUGGGUUAAGUCCCGCAACGAGCGCAACCCUUAUCCUUUGUUGCCAGCGGUUCGGCCGGGAACUCAAAGGAGACUGCCGGUGAUAAACCGGAGGAAGGUGGGGAUGACGUCAAGUCAUCAUGGCCCUUACGGCCAGGGCUACACACGUGCUACAAUGGCGCAUACAAAGAGAAGCGACCUCGCGAGAGCAAGCGGACCUCAUAAAGUGCGUCGUAGUCCGGAUUGGAGUCUGCAACUCGACUCCAUGAAGUCGGAAUCGCUAGUAAUCGUAGAUCAGAAUGCUACGGUGAAUACGUUCCCGGGCCUUGUACACACCGCCCGUCACACCAUGGGAGUGGGUUGCAAAAGAAGUAGGUAGCUUAACCUUCGGGAGGGCGCUUACCACUUUGUGAUUCAUGACUGGGGUGAAGUCGUAACAAGGUAAGCGUAGCGAG
rnacentral:rRNA from 1 species